rnacentral:rRNA from 1 species
UUGGCUCAGAAGCAGCCACCAUUUAAAGAGUGCGUAAUAGCUCACUGGUCGAGAGUCCCUGCGCCGAAAAUUUCCGGGGCUAAAGUACGGAACCGAAGCCGUGGCUGUGUACUUAGGUGCACGGGGUAGGGGAGCGUUGCCACAGGGGUGAAGCUGGUCUGGAAGGACUGGUGGACUUGUGGGAAGUGAGAAUGUUGGUAUGAGUAGCGAAAAGAAAGGUGAGAAUCCUUUCCACCGAAAGCAUAAGGAUUCCUGAGCAACGAUCGUCGUCUCAGGGUAAGUCGGGACCUAAUCCGAGGCAAAGAGCGUAGGAGAUGGACAACAGGUUGAUAUUCCUGUACCGGCAGCAAUUGUUUGAGCGAAGGAGUGACACAGAAGGGCAGGCAGGCGCGAGACUGGAUUGUCGCGUGCAAGCGUGUAGGGUAGUGUACAGGCAAAUCCGUACACUGAGAGCCUGAGGCGUUACGCGGAGCGAGCAGAGAUGCGAGCGAAGCUGCUGAUCCCACACUGUCGAGAAAAGCUUCUAGUGAGAGAGCUGCCGCCCGUACCGUAAACCGACACAGGUAUGCGGGGAGAGAAUCCUAAGGUGCGCGGGAGAACCCUCGUUAAGGAACUCGGCAAAAUGUACCCGUAACUUCGGGAUAAGGGUAGCCGUCUUGGUGAAGGAGCUUGCCUCUGGAGCUGAAGGCGGUCGCAGAGAAGAGGCCCAAGCGACUGUUUACCACAAACACAGGUGCCUGCUAAAGCGAAAGCUGACGUAUAGGUGCUGACACCUGCCCAGUGCUGGAAGGUUAAGGAAGGAUGUCCGGGCAACCAAAGCAUUCGACCGAAGCCCCAGUGAACGGCGGCCGUAACUAUAACGGUCCUAAGGUAGCGAAAUUCCUUGUCGGGUAAGUUCCGACCCGCACGAAAGGUGUAACGAUUUGGGCACUGUCUCAACGAGGGACCCGGUGAAAUUGAAAUACCUGUGAAGAUGCAGGUUACCCGCGACUGGACAGAAAGACCCCAUGGAGCUUUACUGUAACCUGACAUUGGGUUUUGUUGUAUUACGUACAGGAUAGGUGGGAGGCUUGGAAGGCUGGACGCUAGUCUGGCUGGAGCCGGCGUUGGGAUACCACCCUUGAUACAACGGAAUUCUAACCGAGAGAGUAACGAAAUCCGGGACAGUGUCAGGCGGGCAGUUUGACUGGGGCGGUCGCCUCCGAAAGAGUAACGGAGGCGCCCAAAGGUUCCCUCAGCGCGGCCGGAAAUCGCGCGAAGAGUGUAAAGGCAGAAGGGAGCUUGACUGCGAGCCAAACACGGCGAGCAGGUACGAAAGUAGGGCUUAGUGAUCCGGUGGUACCGAGUGGAAGGGCCAUCGCUCAACGGAUAAAAGCUACCCUGGGGAUAACAGGCUAAUCUCUCCCAAGAGUCCAUAUCGACGGGGAGGUUUGGCACCUCGAUGUCGGCUCAUCACAUCCUGGGGCUGAAGUCGGUCCCAAGGGUUGGGCUGUUCGCCCAUUAAAGUGGUACGUGAGCUGGGUUCAGAACGUCGUGAGACAGUUCGGUCCCUAUCCAUCGCGGGCGCAAGAGAUUUGAAGGGGUCUGCUCCUAGUACGAGAGGACCGGAGUGGACGGACCGCUGGUGUACCAGUUAUUCCGCCAGGAGUACAGCUGGGUAGCUACGUCCGGACUGGAUAAACGCUGAAAGCAUCUAAGCGUGAAGCCAUCCUUAAGAUGAGAUCUCUCACAGAGUAAUCUGGUAAGACACCUUAAAGAAGAUGAGGUAGAUAGGCCGGGAGUGUAAGUGCAGCAAUGUAUUGAGCUGACCGGUACUAAUAUGUCGAGGGCUUGACUU